UUUAGAGUUUGGUCCUGGCUCAGGACGAACGCCUAGAGUUUGGAUCUGGCUCAGAACGAACGCUGGCGGCAGGCUUAACACAUGCAAGUCGAGCGGGCGCUUUCGGGCGUCAGCGGCGGACGGGUUAGUAACGCGUGGGAACGUGCCCUUUGAUCUGGAAUAGCCCUGGGAAACCGGGGGUAAUACCCGAUGUGCCGUGAGGGGGAAAGGUUUUACCGGCAAGGGAUCGGCCCGCGUCUGAUUAGGUAGUUGGUGUGGUAACGGCGCACCAAGCCGACGAUCGGUAGCUGGUUUGAGAGGAUGAUCAGCAACACUGGGACUGAGACACGGCCCAGACUCCUACGGGAGGCAGCAGUGGGGAAUACAGACAAUGGGCGAAAGCCUGAUCUAGCCAUGCCGCGUGGGUGAUGAAGGCCUUAGGGUCGUAAAGCCCUUUCGCCGGGGAAGAUAAUGACGGUACCCGGUAAAGAAGCACCGGCUACUACGCGCCCACCCAG
rnacentral:rRNA from 1 species